UUCAGGAUCACGACUCUUUCGACGCAUUCACACGCUUCUGACAAGCAUUUAUAACCACGCGGGCAUCCAAACCGUACACCUGUAAGAUAAGAUACAGAGGGGAAAAAGUCAGAACUUCUUAAAGAGAGAGCGAAAGAGCGUCGUUGAAAUCGAACAAUCCAUGGUAGGGAGGUGAGAAAUCUACCUUUAUUUUCUUCCCUUCUUUUCUUAUCUUCAAAUUCGGUUUAGGGUUUAUUUAAGCAGUUCUAGCAGUGAUUCAGGGUCUUCUUCAAGUGACCCUGAUAGCAGAAGUUCCUCUGCAUCUGGAUCUGAUGCUGCUGGACAUUCACCUAGAUCUUGACCCUAUUCAGAUUGGGUUUUAUGGGUGCGAUGUAGCACUUGGGUGUAUAUUGGAGAAGUGAAGGGCUGCAGAAUGGGCAGAGUGGGGGAAGGGCUUCAGCAGCACUUCACAAUUUUGUACUAUCUAGAGAAUCAUACAACUAAGAUGCGGGUAGGAUUGGUUAGGGAUUAAUUAGGCUAAAUUGAAGGCACGUGUACAUUGCUAAUUUAAUAACAAAGUGCUAGUCAGCUCAACUCAUCCUACUUUCACGAGAGAGAAGAGGUUUGGGGGGGGGGGCUUGGUUUUUCUGCGUUUAUUAUGCUUUCUGCCGGCAGAUUCAUUGAUUUGAUGUUAUGUGUAAAGAAGCAAAGAAACAAGCAUCGUAUGGUUCACGUGAAAUGAAUACAACAACAAUUAGUGUGAAA